AACCUUUUAGGAGCUAGCCGUCGAAGGUGGGACAAAUGAUUGGGGUGAAGUCGUAACAAGGUAGCCGUAUCGGAAGGUGCGGCUGGAUCACCUCCUUUCUAAGGA
rnacentral:rRNA from 1 species